CCGCCGCCUCCGCCGCCUCCGCCCCCUGCGCCACGCGGUGGCCGGAGCCUCCCGGCGGGUCCUCGGCUGCAGAGAAGCCGGAGCGGCGCAGAGGGAAGUUAGGGCUUCCGCGCGCUCUCUCCUCCCGCGGCGCUCCGUCCUCAGGCUGGGAUGUGCACGCGGCGGCGGCGGCUCCUGAGCUUUACACCCCGCAGGCAGGAGCCGGAGGACGGUGGGGAGGAAGCGACCCGCGCAGAGGCAGCCGGGACAAGUCCCAGGGCCGCGGUGCCGCGCGCAGAGUCGCUCUCUCUCUUUCUCUCUCUCUCCUCCGCCCUGGACACUUUAAGCAGCGGUGGCGGCAGGCUCGCAGACCCGACAGCCAGGCUCCCGCGUUCCGACGUCUCUCUGACCUCCGCGGAUGACAAGUGAGCAAGAAGUGUCCAGCCGGGCCAUCCCCUUCAGGGUAAUCGCUGGGGCUUGGUGCCUGCACUAGGAAUCCACUGCUCCUGGAAGCCAUCGUUUUCCGUUGUUGUUACUGUUAUUGUUGCAUAGGACACAGAAAUUGAAAGAAGAGAGAAAGACACCUGCAGACCAGCUUCAGCGCUUGCGAAGCGACACCUCUGCAGGACUACAUACAGGAAGUACUCUCCAGAUUCCUUGAAAGUGAAAUAUAUGUCAUGGGAUCCAGGAAUUAUUCAUGGAAUUGAAGAUAUUAGACUUUAUUUAAAAUGUCUUUCCCUUGGAAAAAAAAUGAAAGUCCUCUGUAUGUUAUUGUCACAAAUAUCAAAGUUCUAAAUACAGUUAUUCUAUAAAUAGUGGUGUUGAGCUGGGGAGAUAGCAUAAUGGUUAUGCAAAAGCCUUUCAAGCCUGAGGCUCUGAGGUCCCAGGUUCAAUCCCCAGCACAACCAUAAGCCAGAACUGAGCAGUGUUCUGGUCCCCUUUCUGUCUCUUGGUAUCUUUUCCUCUGUAUCUACUAUUUCUCAUUAAAAUAAAAUAGAUAAAAAUAUGUAAACAAAUAAAUAGUGCAGUAUUGAUUAAUGCUGCACUGGUGUCAAGAAACAUAAAGAAAAAAUGGUCAUACUUUAUAACCAUACUAUGGUCAUGAAUUCUGCAUCUGGAAAAAGCAACUUUCCACCAACAUCAAAUGAUGGAGGCAAAUUCAGUCAAACUACUAACUCUUGAAAAUAGCUAGCUGCCUGAUUAAAUUAAAUUUAUUUUACUCUAAACCAGUCUGUAGGAAAAAAAAAAUCAAUGAACUUGAAAAUAAUAAUUCUGAGUAGCAUAUUAAAAUAGGGAUGAUCGAUCACUACAGAACUGAUUUAAUAAAGAAAUUGACUGUGA